CCAUGUUAUCUUACCAUUAAGGCAGGUCUAUUCCGGCACAGUGAUAAAGAUCAAAUGAGAUCUUGCGACAUGGAGGGUUCUUUUUGUAACCUACAGAUCCUGUUCAUUCUCCAGCUAAUCCACGAUUGAAGGCACACUUCCCCUGGCUGUUCCUCCUCCUCAGCAUAAUGGUGGUCAGCUACCAAAUCGUGGCAACCUCCUGACUCAACAUUAAAUCUAUUACUGUAGCUGCA